rnacentral:rRNA from 1 species
UGGGGAAUAUUGCACAAUGGGCGCAAGCCUGAUGCAGCCAUGCCGCGUGUGUGAAGAAGGCCUUCGGGUUGUAAAGCACUUUCAGCGAGGAGGAAGGUGGUGAGCUUAAUACGCUCAUCAAUUGACGUUACUCGCAGAAGAAGCACCGGCUAACUCCGUGCCAGCAGCCGCGGUAAUACGGAGGGUGCAAGCGUUAAUCGGAAUUACUGGGCGUAAAGCGCACGCAGGCGGUUUGUUAAGUCAGAUGUGAAAUCCCCGGGCUCAACCUGGGAACUGCAUUUGAAACUGGCAAGCUAGAGUCUCGUAGAGGGGGGUAGAAUUCCAGGUGUAGCGGUGAAAUGCGUAGAGAUCUGGAGGAAUACCGGUGGCGAAGGCGGCCCCCUGGACGAAGACUGACGCUCAGGUGCGAAAAGCGUGGGGCAGCAAACAGGAUUAGAUACCCUGGUAGUCCACGCUGUAAACGAUGUCGAUUUUGGAGGUUGUGCCCCUUGAGGCGU